rnacentral:rRNA from 1 species
GACGAACGCUGGCGGCGUGCUUAACACAUGCAAGUCGAACGGAAAGGCCCUGCUUUUGUGGGGUGCUCGAGUGGCGAACGGGUGAGUAACACGUGAGUAACCUGCCCUUGACUUUGGGAUAACUUAAGGAAACUGGGGCUAAUACCGGAUAGGAGCUCCUGCUGCUUGGUGGGGGUUGGAAAGUUUCGGCGGUUGGGGAUGGACUGGCGGCUUAUCAGCUUGUUGGUGGGGUAGUGGCUUACCAAGGCUUUGACGGGUAGCCGGCCUGAGAGGGUGACCGGCCACAUUGGGAUUGAGAUACGGCCCAGACUCCUACGGGAGGCAGCAGUGGGGAAUAUUGCACAAGGGGCGGAAGCCUGAUGCAGCAACGCCGCGUGCGGGAUGACGGCCUUCGGGUUGUAAACCGCUUUCGCCUGUGACGAAGCGUGAGUGGCGGUAAUGGGUAAAGAAGCACCGGCUAACUACGUG